GAGGCUAUAGCUCAGAGGUAGAGCACGUGCCUAGCACGCACGAGGUCUCAGGUUCCAUCCCCAGUGCCUCCA
rnacentral:tRNA from 1 species